rnacentral:lncRNA from 1 species
GGGCUGACGGAUAAUUUUCCAAGCCUUUGUGACGUGACAUCGUAGACGGCAUUUUUGAGCUGCCAUGGCUCAUGAUGAGGGAGUUGAAAUAGAGGAGUUAAUGUGCUUGUAUUUAAAGCCUCUCCAAAGCCUCCUCGACAACUUCAGAGCCAAGAUUUCAGGAAACCGGGAUCAAUUUGAAACCUGGUGCAGUUGAAAACACUCUUUCAUCACAUGCUUAGCAGAAGUUCAAGUGCACCAGAGAAUGCAGCCAAGAAUCUGUCUGCUAGAUUCACUGUCAGAAUGUCAUGUUUCACAUCUACCCGAACUCCUAUCUGAUGCAGCUGACGGAAACAAAGAAAAUCUGCAACAGGAAAAGCUCUCCGCAGACCCCCUCAAACUGGUAAUUCCAGAGGAAUCACGGACAAGUCAAGUCUCGAAGAAUGGUGAUAUUUUCACAUUCAUAAAUAAAGUCAUCAGGAUUUGCAAUGGAUUUUGCAUGAGCAUAAGAAGAGAGAAAUCAAAGAAUCCUCCUAAGUUUGUUACUCAGGGAUGGGAAAAGAAGCAAGUGAAAGAGUCCAUGAGAACACGCUAUUUAAAUGUGUGUUGUGGUUCUACCAGUAGGACAUAUAGUAUACAGUGGAAAAACUACUAGCAGGCUACAAAGAGUUUGUUAUUUGGUUUAUAUCUUCUUACUUCACCUUAGGCAAGCACAGCAUCUCGUAUUUAUUCCAAAGCAUUUACCAUCCUUCUUUGGAUUAAAUAAAUUAUUAUUGAAGACAGCAG